UUAAGCGACUAAGCGUACACGGUGGAUGCCCUGGCAGUCAGAGGCGAUGAAGGACGUGCUAAUCUGCGAUAAGCGUCGGUAAGGUGAUAUGAACCGUUAUAACCGGCGAUUUCCGAAUGGGGAAACCCAGUGUGUUUCGACACACUAUCAUUAACUGAAUCCAUAGGUUAAUGAGGCGAACCGGGGGAACUGAAACAUCUAAGUACCCCGAGGAAAAGAAAUCAACCGAGAUUCCCCCAGUAGCGGCGAGCGAACGGGGAGGAGCCCAGAGCCUGAAUCAGUGUGUGUGUUAGUGGAAGCGUCUGGAAAGGCGCGCGAUACAGGGUGACAGCCCCGUACACAAAAAUGCACAUGCUGUGAGCUCGAUGAGUAGGGCGGGACACGUGGUAUCCUGUCUGAAUAUGGGGGAACCAUCCUCCAAGGCUAAAUACUCCUGACUGACCGAUAGUGAACCAGUACCGUGAGGGAAAGGCGAAAAGAACCCCGGCGAGGGGAGUGAAAAAGAACCUGAAACCGUGUACGUACAAGCAGUGGGAGCCUCUUUUAUGGGGUGACUGCGUACCUUUUGUAUAAUGGGUCAGCGACUUAUAUUCUGUAGCAAGGUUAACCGAAUAGGGGAGCCGAAGGGAAACCGAGUCUUAACUGGGCGUUAAGUUGCAGGGUAUAGACCCGAAACCCGGUGAUCUAGCCAUGGGCAGGUUGAAGGUUGGGUAACACUAACUGGAGGACCGAACCGACUAAUGUUGAAAAAUUAGCGGAUGACUUGUGGCUGGGGGUGAAAGGCCAAUCAAACCGGGAGAUAGCUGGUUCUCCCCGAAAGCUAUUUAGGUAGCGCCUCGUGAAUUCAUCGUCCGGGGGUAGAGCACUGUUUCGGCAAGGGGGUCAUCCCGACUUACCAACCCGAUGCAAACUGCGAAUACCGGAGAAUGUUAUCACGGGAGACACACGGCGGGUGCUAACGUCCGUCGUGAAGAGGGAAACAACCCAGACCGCCAGCUAAGGUCCCAAAGUCAUGGUUAAGUGGGAAACGAUGUGGGAAGGCCCAGACAGCCAGGAUGUUGGCUUAGAAGCAGCCAUCAUUUAAAGAAAGCGUAAUAGCUCACUGGUCGAGUCGGCCUGCGCGGAAGAUGUAACGGGGCUAAACCAUGCACCGAAGCUGCGGCAGCGACACUGUGUGUUGUUGGGUAGGGGAGCGUUCUGUAAGCCUGUGAAGGUGUACUGUGAGGUAUGCUGGAGGUAUCAGAAGUGCGAAUGCUGACAUAAGUAACGAUAAAGCGGGUGAAAAGCCCGCUCGCCGGAAGACCAAGGGUUCCUGUCCAACGUUAAUCGGGGCAGGGUGAGUCGACCCCUAAGGCGAGGCCGAAAGGCGUAGUCGAUGGGAAACAGGUUAAUAUUCCUGUACUUGGUGUUACUGCGAAGGGGGACGGAGAAGGCUAUGUUGGCCGGGCGACGGUUGUCCCGGUUUAAGCGUGUAGGCUGGUUUUCCAGGCAAAUCCGGAAAAUCAAGGCUGAGGCGUGAUGACGAGGCACUACGGUGCUGAAGCAACAAAUGCCCUGCUUCCAGGAAAAGCCUCUAAGCAUCAGGUAACAUCAAAUCGUACCCCAAACCGACACAGGUGGUCAGGUAGAGAAUACCAAGGCGCUUGAGAGAACUCGGGUGAAGGAACUAGGCAAAAUGGUGCCGUAACUUCGGGAGAAGGCACGCUGAUAUGUAGGUGAAGUCCCUCGCGGAUGGAGCUGAAAUCAGUCGAAGAUACCAGCUGGCUGCAACUGUUUAUUAAAAACACAGCACUGUGCAAACACGAAAGUGGACGUAUACGGUGUGACGCCUGCCCGGUGCCGGAAGGUUAAUUGAUGGGGUCAGCGCAAGCGAAGCUCUUGAUCGAAGCCCCGGUAAACGGCGGCCGUAACUAUAACGGUCCUAAGGUAGCGAAAUUCCUUGUCGGGUAAGUUCCGACCUGCACGAAUGGCGUAAUGAUGGCCAGGCUGUCUCCACCCGAGACUCAGUGAAAUUGAACUCGCUGUGAAGAUGCAGUGUACCCGCGGCAAGACGGAAAGACCCCGUGAACCUUUACUAUAGCUUGACACUGAACAUUGAGCCUUGAUGUGUAGGAUAGGUGGGAGGCUUUGAAGUGUGGACGCCAGUCUGCAUGGAGCCGACCUUGAAAUACCACCCUUUAAUGUUUGAUGUUCUAACGUGGACCCGUGAUCCGGGUUGCGGACAGUGUCUGGUGGGUAGUUUGACUGGGGCGGUCUCCUCCUAAAGAGUAACGGAGGAGCACGAAGGUUGGCUAAUCCUGGUCGGACAUCAGGAGGUUAGUGCAAUGGCAUAAGCCAGCUUGACUGCGAGCGUGACGGCGCGAGCAGGUGCGAAAGCAGGUCAUAGUGAUCCGGUGGUUCUGAAUGGAAGGGCCAUCGCUCAACGGAUAAAAGGUACUCCGGGGAUAACAGGCUGAUACCGCCCAAGAGUUCAUAUCGACGGCGGUGUUUGGCACCUCGAUGUCGGCUCAUCACAUCCUGGGGCUGAAGUAGGUCCCAAGGGUAUGGCUGUUCGCCAUUUAAAGUGGUACGCGAGCUGGGUUUAGAACGUCGUGAGACAGUUCGGUCCCUAUCUGCCGUGGGCGCUGGAGAACUGAGGGGGGCUGCUCCUAGUACGAGAGGACCGGAGUGGACGCAUCACUGGUGUUCGGGUUGUCAUGCCAAUGGCACUGCCCGGUAGCUAAAUGCGGAAGAGAUAAGUGCUGAAAGCAUCUAAGCACGAAACUUGCCCCGAGAUGAGUUCUCCCUGACCCUUUAAGGGUCCUGAAGGAACGUUGAAGACGACGACGUUGAUAGGCCGGGUGUGUAAGCGCAGCGAUGCGUUGAGCUAACCGGUACUAAUGAACCGUGAGGCUUAACCUU
rnacentral:rRNA from 1 species